rnacentral:ncRNA from 1 species
CCCAAACAAGUUCGGGAUGGUUUCGCCAAUUAAAAGGGAAUCAAGUGAAAAGCUUGUUGAUUACAGAUUGCCGAUUGAAGGACAACGGGUUCCAAAAUCAGUAAUCAAAAACAAAUCAUCAAUCUUCAUUCUUGAACUGUUCCCGCAACUGUAAGCUAUUAAGCUUCAUGUAAACUUCAAUGUCACUGUCCGAUGUUUCGGAAUGGGAAGACCUAACAUGAAGACGCAAGUCAGGAGACCUGCCAAAUUCAACAAAAAAUA